rnacentral:lncRNA from 13 species
GUGUACCUAAGCAACUGUCUUGCACGUUCUGCACAUGUACCCCAAAACCUAAAAUGCAAUAAAAAAAAACAAAACUCGCCAAAACACUAUCAUUUAAAAAGACAUUAAAUGAGGCAAUAAUUAUGCCACAUUUUUCUUUAAUAUGAAGCAGUUAAGAGCAUUCUCAGGUAUAAAUAACCUUUACCCAGAAUUGGGUAAAAUCUGGAAUGCCUUUCAGAGAAAUGCAUAUGACCAUUAAUAAAUCUUAUGAGAUUAAGUCAGUAUAAUGAGUUGCCAAAACCAGAGACCAGCCAGGCAACACUUUAAACAAGUUGGUCUUGCUCUUAUAAUAAUGUUUUAAAGGCCAAUUAAAACAUUUUAUUCACUUGAUUGCAUGCUUUCAAAGUUUACAUGUAAGUCCUGAAAUGUAAACAGAGAUGUUCUCCUCUGAAGUUGCCUUAUCAUUCUCUGACUUUUAGGACUUGCCCAAUAUGGGCAUGGUUGAAACAUAGGUUUUGUUACUGAAGCCCAUGGAAUUUAUCUUAUUUUAGGCUUUGAUUUCAGAACCACGGAUGAUGUAUUUUCUCCACGUUGUCUCUUCUGUUCCUGCAAACCCCAGAGAACAUGCUGUAUGAGUAUAAUGGAAAUCAUUUCACUUUCUUUGACUUAUGGUUAGUGAAGAGGAUUUCAGGCUGGCAUCAAGUUACAGAGUCUACCUCCCUGUAGUGCAUCUUCUAGGUGCAAUUAGUCUUCCUGUUUUGGAAAAAGCCCAUCCUGGUGAUGAUGAAGACCUCUGAAGACCUCGCGUCAUCCUCUUAUCCUUGUAUUCUGCGUGUAUAUUACUGGCUACAAGCCAACCAGCAGUGGAAACCUCCCGGAGUUCUCGAAGACCUGGCCUGUGGAGUUAAGCCGGGCUUGGUGGAUGCAGCCCAGAGUCUUGCUCUAUCACCAGGCUGGAGUGCACUGGCAGGAUCCCGGCUCAUUCCAACUUCCACUUUCGGAUUUCAAGCAAUUCUCCUGCCUCAGCCUCCGGAGUAGCUGGGACUACAGGCACGCACUACCACGCCUGGCUAAUUUUUUGUAGUUUUAGUGGAGACAGGGUUUCACCAUGUUGGCCAGGAUGGUCUGGAUCUCUUGACCUCGUGAUUUGCCUGCCUCGGCCUCCCAAAGUGCUGGGAUUACAGGCAUGAGCCACUGUGCCCGGCUGAUAAUAAGUAUCCUUAGUUCCAUCUUCAAUGUCUCUUGACAGCAGUAUUUAGGUGAGUGUUUGAUUGAAUAACCAGGGACUAGAAUCGUGUCUUUAGAAUUCUGCCUGCCACAGGUGCUAUCACCUUAUACAUUGUUUUGUGUUGUUUUCCCUUUUUGUAUUUUGUUUCACAAGUAACUAUGGCUAAAAAAUUGUGGAGAUAUACAAACUGGUGCUUUCCUGUGAUAUUUGAAAGAUACUUACUAAAGGUACUUAACCUUUUUUUUGUGAAAAAAAUAUAAAAGUGUUUUUUUCUUAGCUGAAAUAAUUUGUAUUUUCAUCAUGUAUAAGGAUAGUAAAAAUGUAGGUAUGAAAAAGUAAAUUCUUGAACUUGCUGCUUUUUUCUUUGGAAGGGAGGAAGGGGAGGAAGGCAGGAAGGGAGGAAAGGAGGAGGAAGAGAGGAAG